GGGUGCGUAGGCGGUACGGUAAGUCUGUAGUAAAAGGCGGCAGCUCAACUGUCGUAGGCUAUGGAAACUGUCGAACUAGAGUGCAGAAGAGGGCGAUGGAACUCCAUGUGUAGCGGUAAAAUGCGUAGAUAUAUGGAAGAACACCAGUGGCGAAGGCGGUCGCCUGGUCUGUAACUGACGCUGAAGCACGAAAGCGUGGGGAGCAAAUAGGAUUAGAUACCCUAGUAGUCCACGCCGUAAACGAUGAGAACUAAGUGUUGGGGGAAUAACUCAGUGCUGCAGUUAACGCAAUAAGUUCUCCGCCUGGGGAGUAUGCACGCAAGUGUGAAACUCAAAGGAAUUGACGGGGGCCCGCACAAGCGGUGGAGUAUGUGGUUUAAUUCGAAGCAACGCGAAGAACCUUACCAGGCCUUGACAUCCCCGGCGAAGACAUGGAGACAUGUCGGAGGUUAACCGGGAGACAGGUGGUGCAUGGUUGUCGUCAGCUCGUGUCGUGAGAUGUUGGGUUAAGUCCCGCAACGAGCGCAACCCUUGUGAUAUGUUACUAACAGUAAGAUGAGGACUCAUAUCAGACUGCCGGUGACAAACCGGAGGAAGGUGGGGAUGACGUCAAAUCAUCAUGCCCCUUAUGGCCUGGGCUACACACGUACUACAAUGGCGGCUACAAAGAGCGGCGAACCCGCGAGGGGGAGCGAAUCUCAUAAAGGUCGUCUCAGUUCGGAUUGAAGUCUGCAACCCGACUUCAUGAAGUUGGAAUCGCUAGUAAUCGCGAAUCAGCAUGUCGCGGUGAAUACGUUCUCGGGCCUUGUACACACCGCCCGUCAAACCAUGGGAGUUGGUAAUACCCGAAGCCGGUGGCAUACC
rnacentral:rRNA from 1 species